rnacentral:rRNA from 1 species
ACGACACUAACAAUCCUUCGGGUGCGUUAAUGGGCGUCGAGCGGCGAACGGGUGAGUAAUACAUCGGAACGUACCUUAUCGUGGGGGAUAACGCAGCGAAAGCUGUGCUAAUACCGCAUACGCCCUGAGGGGGAAAGCGGGGGAUCGAAAGACCUCGCGCGAUUAGAGCGGCCGAUGCCUGAUUAGCUUGUUGGUGGAGUAAAAGCCCACCAAGGCGACGAUCAGUAGCUGGUCUGAGAGGACGAUC